AAACUCCGCUGGGGAUAUCCUUCAGUCCACAGGUAGGAUAAAUGCUGGAGAUAACUUUAAUGAACCUGCCUCACUCGGGGAGGAAAUCGGCAAAUACAGGCCGGCUGGGGAUAGGCAAUACUUAGAUCUGUUGGAGAAUAGAAGGCACCAUCCACAGACGUCUUCGCGGGGGAACAUAGCUCUGAUAGCUUCCAAACUUGCUUGGGGAAAAUAUCUGUUGAGGAAACGUCCUCACAGAUGCCAAUCUGA
rnacentral:lncRNA from 1 species